rnacentral:lncRNA from 1 species
UAAGAGUGGUCUUGCCUUGAACUGCUGUACUCCUGCCUUAGCCUCCGGAGCGCUGGGAUUACAGGUUUGUGCCGCUGUGACUCUCCCGCUGUGCGGCAGAGACUUUUAAGCCAGCCAUUUUUCUAAAAAGGUUGCAAUUUUAACUUGUGGCAGUGUAAUGUCCUUUAGGAGACCCAAGCUCAAAGAGGUGAUAGGGCUUUCCAACUCACAAAACGCUGUCGGGACUGGGUACAGGACCUGAACAUCCUACAAGCCUGCUGCUCUAUUACUGAGUCACACGGUCAUCCUUGUCCUGUGGUUCCCUCUCGCUGCCAGUACAGUCAGGCCCAAACAAAGGCCGCAUCUUAGGCGAGUUCCCCCCAAAAUAUGUUUGCCAAGGUUAACAGCCUUCCUCUAAUAGGGUGAGGUCUUAGGGUUGGUAUCCAAAAGUGGCAGAAAUCCAUCCUUAAAUUGUAUCAGUGUAUCACCAGGACUCAGUUGCUGGAAUGAGGGAAGCAGAGUAGGAGAGAGAAGAGGACUCUGGAAUUGCAAAAUUAAGCAGUUGAGCAGGGUUAACUAGUGCACCCACCGAGUAUCGAGGUUCUAAGUUGGUGACAGACGCCGGCGGCCUAGAUGCCCAUACCCUCGUACCCCGCGGGACUGCGCAGACACGUUAAAAGUCCGGAAAUCCGGAGCCCUGGGCCUCAGCGGCCCGGUUGGCUCUCCCGCCUUGAGGACUAGGAGGGGCGUAUACCGGCGGGGAAUCACCGUGGCCAAUCUACAUUUCUGUGCCCCAAGUUUCGACAAGGAGCUCGCGAAGACGCUGGGUCCUCGGGAAGGCCUGAGCGCCCUUCCUGCUUUGCAAUCGGCGGGAAGCUUCCUGGGCCGAGGGGACGGGAGCUGGGUGAAGGAGCAGCACUUGUACCUCUUGCGGCACAUCCUCGGCGCGCCCGGAGGAGGCCAGGCGGAGAGCUCCGGGCUCCAGCGCCUUUUUGGGCCGUCCGCCUCCAUGCCCGCCCUAACUGCGGCGCAGCCCACAUUGGCUACCCCAGCGGCCCGUCCGGCCCCCGCACGCCUAUUGGCGGCCGAGGCCCGACCCCCGACGAGGGCUCCGAGGCGGAGAGCCGGAUUGGUGGUCCCAUCGUCCCGGGUCGCAGUCGCACGCUCCGCCCGCCGCUGCGUCCCCACUAUGGCGGCGCCCAUACAGUCCAGCGCUUCGUGGGCGCCAGCCGGGGUUCCCCGCGGCUGUGGCCGCUGCCUGCGCCUUCCUCCCUCGCUUGGGGCUGGGCGCUGCCUCUCCCCGGCCUGCCUCUCGGCUGCGGAUUGUUUUCUUUCCUCCCACUUGCCAGGUGUGCUGCCAUCUCUUCCAGGUGCGUCACUUCUGCCAAGACUUUUAGUGGUUCUGGGUAUGUUGAACUAGCCAUAGAACAGCUGGCAUGAAAGUAUGGGCAAAUGUUUUUAUUGGCCACACCUUCAGAUUUUACUGUUAUUUCCUGAUUAUUUGAAUUGCUUGCUCUGUGUGCUUUACUGUUUGUACUUAUCUUGGCUUUUUCUACCUUAAGUGACCCUCUUGAAUUAUUCUUACAUAUGUUUAGGGCUGUUUGUAGGAAACUUCUGUGAAUUGUUUCUGUGCUUUUCUUCCCACGUAAUUAGUGCUCUCCUUAAAAUGACUAUAACUCUGUAGUCUUUUUGUCUUAACUUUCAGUCACGACAUAGGACUGAAGCUUUCUCCAGAUGUGAAUCAUGAUCUUUGUCUCUAGCAAAGUUUUUUUACUUAGUAGAUACUUAGCAAAUAUAUUGAGAAAAGCUUUGAACUAGAUGGAUACAAAAAAAUGCUAUGCGGAAAGAAAAUGCUGCCAUAAAGUAUGUAAAUAAUGUUAUUUAUGAGAGAAUCCCUUACUGAGAGACAGUGUAUUGGUCUGGAUAGCUUGGGUUAAACAAUACUAGCAAAAGUUUUAAAGAUUUCAGUGAUUUAACAGAACUGAAAUUGAUUUCUUCUUCAUGCUACUAGGGGACUCUGCUUCCAUAGGGGUCACUCAGGAACCAAGACAAUUGGUGGUCAAGUGAAUGCUG